GAUGAACGCUGGCGGCGUGCCUAAUACAUGCAAGUCGAGCGAACAGACGAGGAGCUUGCUCCUCUGACGUUAGCGGCGGACGGGUGAGUAACACGUGGAUAACCUACCUAUAAGACUGGGAUAACUUCGGGAAACCGGAGCUAAUACCGGAUAAUAUAUUGAACCGCAUGGUUCAAUAGUGAAAGACGGUUUUGCUGUCACUUAUAGAUGGAUCCGCGCCGCAUUAGCUAGUUGUUAAGGUAACGGCUUACCAAGGCAACGAUGCGUAGCCGACCUGAGAGAGUGGUCGGCGACAUUGGAACGGAGACACGGACAAGACGCCUAAGGGAGGCAGCAGUAGGGAAUCUGCCGCAAUGGGCGAAAGCCUGACGGAGCAACGCCGCGUGAGUGAUGAAGGUCUUCGGAUCGUAAAACUCUGUUAUUAGGGAAGAACAAAUGUGUAAGUAACUAUGCACGUCUUGACGGUACCUAAUCAGAAAGCCACGGCUAACUACGUG
rnacentral:rRNA from 1 species